AUGCAAGUCGAGCGCUCGUAGCAAUACGGGAGCGGCAGACGGGAGAGUAACACGUGGGAACGUACCCUUCGGUUCGGAAUAACCCAGGGAAACUUGGGCUAAUACCGGAUACGUCCGUAAGGAGAAAGAUUUAUCGCCGAGGGAUCGGCCCGCGUCCGAUUAGCUAGUUGGUGAGGUAAUGGCUCACCAAGGCGACGAUCGGUAGCUGGUCUGAGAGGAUGAUCAGCCUCACUGGGACUGAGACACGGCCCAGACUCCUACGGGAGGCAGCAGUGGGGAAUAUUGGACAAUGGGCGCAAGCCUGAUCCAGCCAUGCCGCGUGGGUGAUGAAGGCCUUAGGGUUGUAAAGCCCUUUCGGCGGGGAAGAUAAUGACGGUACCCGCAGAAGAAGCCCCGGCUAACUUCGUGCCAGCAGCCGCGGUAAUACGAAGGG
rnacentral:rRNA from 1 species